CCUUCGAUAGCUCAGUUGGAAGAGCGCAGGACUGUAACCGGUAACAAUCCUGCCAAGGGCAUCCUGAUGUCGCUGGUUCGAUCCCGGCUCGAAGGA